rnacentral:snRNA from 1 species
AUACUUACCUAGCAGGAGACAGCAUGGCCAAGAAGGUGGCUUUCUGGGGGAAGGGUCAUCCAUCGCACCUGCAGCAUGCUGACCUCAGCAAUUUCCCGUAAUUUGGGGAAAUAAUUUGUGGUAGUAAGACACUGUUCCAGCUCUGG